rnacentral:rRNA from 1 species
AUACGGAGGAUCCGAGCGUUAUCCGGAUUUAUUGGGUUUAAAGGGUGUGUAGGCGGGAUAUUAAGUCAGUGGUGAAAGUUUGACGCUCAACGUUAAAAUUGCCAUUGAUACUGGUUUUCUUGAGUAUGGUUGAGGUAGGUGGAAUGUGUUGUGUAGCGGUGAAAUGCAUAGAUAUGACACAGAACGCCGAUUGCGAAGGCAGCUUACUAAGCCAUUACUGACGCUGAGGCACGAAAGCGUGGGGAUC